rnacentral:rRNA from 1 species
UGAGGAAUAUUGGACAAUGGGCGCAAGCCUGAUCCAGCCAUGCCGCGUGCAGGAUGACGGUCCUAUGGAUUGUAAACUGCUUUUGCACAGGAAGAAACACUCGGUCGUGACCGAGCUUGACGGUACUGUGAGAAUAAGGAUCGGCUAACUCCGUG